rnacentral:rRNA from 1 species
GACGAACGCUGGCGGCGUGCUUAACACAUGCAAGUCGAACGAAGAGCGAUGGAAGCUUGCUUCUCUCAAUCUUAGUGGCGAACUGGUGAGUAACGCGUAAUCAACCUGCCCUUCAGAGGGGGACAACAGUUGGAAACGACUGCUAAUACCGCAUACGAUCUAAUCUCGGCAUCGAGGAUAGAUGAAAGGUGGCCUCUACAUGUAAGCUAUCACUGAAGGAGGGGAUUGCGUCUGAUUAGCUAGUUGGAGGGGUAACGGCCCACCAAGGCGAUGAUCAGUAGCCGGUCUGAGAGGAUGAACGGCCACAUUGGGACUGAGACACGGCCCAGACUCCUACGGGAGGCAGCAGUGGGGAAUCUUCCGCAAUGGACGAAAGUCUGACGGAGCAACGCCGCGUGAGUGAUGACGGCCUUCGGGUUGUAAAGCUCUGUUAAUCGGGACGAAAGGCCUUCUUGCGAAUAGUGAGAAGGAUUGACGGUACCGGAAUAGAAAGCCACGGCUAACUACGUG